rnacentral:rRNA from 1 species
UACGAAGGGGGCUAGCGUUGUUCGGAAUUACUGGGCGUAAAGGGCGCGUAGGCGGUGUGUCAAGUCAGGCGUGAAAGCCCCGGGCUCAACCUGGGAACUGCGCUUGAGACUGGCACGCUCGAGUUCGGGAGAGGAUUGGUGGAAUUCCCAGUGUAGAGGUGAAAUUCGUAGAUAUUGGGAAGAACACCGAUGGCGAAGGCAGCCAUCUGGACCGACACUGACGCUGAGGCGGCGAAAAGCGUUGGGGA